ensembl:lncRNA
GAGGAUACGUGUAUGAAUGAUAAUGAAUCACUUCUUGUUGUAAUGCGUUUGUUGAGUAAGGAUGCAUAUGUGGGAAAAACACGUUUGAGGUGUCAAAUGGUUAAGUGUGCGCUGGGAAAAGUGGAGUCUGUCAGAGUGACCAGGAGUGACCUUAUUUUGAUUCAUUGUAUUUCUGAAGAACAGAGUAAGAUUGCAGUGAGCCUCAAAAGAAUGCGAACAACAUAAGUUUUGAACUUGAGUAGAGCACCCGUCAAAGGAGUCAUCUCAGGGGUGAAAAUUGAUGUUCAGGUUCCCGACGGAAGGAGUAUAUUGAAGAACGGUAUGUUGAAGGAGGACAGCGUUGCAAUUGUGGUGGGGAUCAUGAUCCAGCGUUCCUGGAUUGCCCUGUAAGGGUGAAGGAGAUUGACAUGGCAAAAGAAUCCUGUUUCCAUCCCGCACAGUAGGUGGCGAUAUACCAUUGCCAAUAUACCAUAGAAGAAUAAGAAGAUUCGGACACAACGGGGCCUGCAGGAGGACAGGUGACCCUGUACCUGCCUGAAGAAAGUGGGGGUAGGGGGUGCGUGCAGCUGGAAAACAAGACCAAGAUACAUUGUUGGCGGUGGUGCUUCAUGGGACUUUCAUAGUAGGUUAGGAGAGAAUUUUCGCUAAACUUAACCUCAGUCUCCUAACCUGCUAUGUUAAUUCUCCUAACCUGCUGCUUUAAUUUGCCUAACCUUCUGCAUCAAUUCUCUUAACCUGGUACGAAAAAGUCACUUUGGUAUCGAAGUGGCGUGAAGAGAGUCUUUCCCUGUGCUUCAUAGCUUAAAAAGCUUAAACUGAAAGCUGAAAUAACCUUUUAGGUACCAGCAGAGCUUGGGUAAUUAUAUAACUUGUCACAUAUAAUCUUAAAAUUCAAAGGGAAGAUGACUUUAAACAUCUUGUGGCUGCUGCUUAUUUACUAGACCGGGCAUGCUAUUAAACAUAUUAUCGCCUAAUCAGACCAUUUUUACUGAUCCAGCUGGGUGAGCCUUUUGUGAAUUAACACUCGGCACUUUACUUUUUUCCCCAUUACUAUCUAUGACUUUGCUGAGCAGGGUGUUUUCCUCCUCCAGAAACCUGUACUCCAGGGGCUGGGGUGAGAGGGCCGCCUGCACCCCCAGCUCAUAGUGCCCCCCUCCGUUCCCGUCCAGCCGGAGACCCUCCAGCCUGCGUCUGGAGGGUCUGGGGGGCUACUUACUAUGACUGUGAUUUGUGGUUGUCCCUCCAAUCUUAAGAUGAAUGCAAGUCUGAAUGCAAAACUGUAAGUCGUUCUUGAUAAAAGCGUCUGCCAAAUGACUCAAAUGAAUGUUGAGCAUAGCACAAAUGUUCAACCAACCUUUACUUGGUGAUACUUUCUCAAUUACCGACUUGGAAGACAACAUGUCUUCUAAACUUCCAAGUCUAGUUGCAGGAGGUUCAUUUGAAUGUAGAAAAUGCUCCGUUAUUACAUUUAAGAAAUGUUUUGCUCCAUGAAGUAAUCCAACAAUGUGUGCUUCUUUGAUGAAGUUUAACGGUGGUUGACAUCCAAUAAAUGUUGCAUUUACCGCCACCUACUAGACUGGAGUAUAACUCCCUUAUACUUUGCUUGAAAAAAUGAAUAAACCAAUACCCUA